rnacentral:rRNA from 1 species
CAAUGGGGGAAACCCUGAUGCAGCGACGCCGCGUGGAGGAAGAAGGUCUUCCNAUUGUAAACUCCUGUUGUUGAGGAAGAUAAUGACGGUACUCAACAAGGAAGUGACGGCUAACUACGUGCCAGCAGCCGCGGUAAAACGUAGGUCACAAGCGUUGUCCGGAAUUACUGGGUGUAAAGGGAGCGCAGGCGGGAAAACAAGUUGGAAGUGAAAUCNAUGGGCUCAACCCAUNAACUGCUUUCAAAACUGUUUUUCUUGAGUAGUGCAGAGGUAGGCGGAAUUCCCGGUGUAGCGGUGGAAUGCGUAGAUAUNAGGAGGAACACCAGUGGCGAAGGCGGCNUACUGGACUNCAACUGACGNUGAGGCUCGAAAGNGUGGGUAGCAAACAGGAUUAGAUACCCUGGUAGUCCAAGGGCGAAUUC